rnacentral:rRNA from 1 species
UUCGCAAUGCCCGAAAGGGUGACGAAGCGACGCCGCGUGCGGGAAGAAGGCCUUCGGGUUGUAAACCGCUGUCGGGAGUUAGGAAAUGCAAGGAUGUUAAUAGCAUUCUUGCUUGACUAAGGCUCCGGAGGAAGCCACGGCUAACUCUGUGCCAGCAGCCGCGGUAAUACAGAGGCGACAAGCGUUGUUCGGAAUUAUUGGGCGUAAAGAGCACGUAGGCGGCUGUGUAAGUCGGUUGUGAAAGCCUUCCGCUUAACGGAAGAACGGCAUCCGAUACUGCAUAGCUUGAGUGCGGGAGGGGAGAGUGGAACUUCUGGUGGAGCGGUGAAAUGCGUAGAUAUCAGAAGGAACACCGGCGGCGAAGGCGACUCUCUGGUCCGAAACUGACGCUGAGUGUGCGAAAGCUAGGGGAGCAAACGGGAUUAGAUACCCCGGUAGUCCUAGCCGUAAACGAUGGGCACUAAGUAGAGGGGUUUUA